rnacentral:rRNA from 1 species
CCUACGGGAGGCAGCAGUGGGGAAUAUUGCACAAUGGGCGAAAGCCUGAUGCAGCAACGCCGCGUGAGGGAAGAAGGCUUUCGGAUUGUAAACCUCUGUCCUCAGGGACGAAAGAAAUGACGGUACCUGAGGAGGAAGCCCCGGCUAACUACGUGCCAGCAGCCGCGGUAAU